UGGGGAAUAUUGCACAAUGGGCGCAAGCCUGAUGCAGCCAUGCCGCGUGUAUGAAGAAGGCCUUCGGGUUGUAAAGUACUUUCAGCGGGGCGGAAGGGAGUAAAGUUAAUACCUUUGCUCAUUGACGUUACCCGCAGAAGAAGCACCGGCUAACUCCGUGCCAGCAGCCGCGGUAAUACGGAGGGUGCAAGCGUUAAUCGGAAUUACUGGGCGUAAAGCGCACGCAGGCGGUCUGUCAAGUCGGAUGUGAAAUCCCCGGGCUCAACCUGGGAACUGCAUUCGAAACUGGCAGGCUAGAGUCUUGUAGAGGGGGGUAGAAUUCCAUGUGUAGCGGUGAAAUGCGUAGAGAUGUGGAGGAAGACCGGUGGCGAAGGCGGCCCCCUGGACAAAGACUGACGCUCAGGUGCGAAAGCGUGGGGAGCAAACAGG
rnacentral:rRNA from 1 species